UUCGCAAUGCCCGAAAGGGUGACGAAGCGACGCCGCGUGCGGGAAGAAGGCCUUCGGGUUGUAAACCGCUGUCGGGAGUUAAGAAAUGCAAGGGUGUUAACAGCGUCCUUGCUUGACUAAGGCUCCGGAGGAAGCCACGGCUAACUCUGUGCCAGCAGCCGCGGUAAUACAGAGGCGGCAAGCGUUGUUCGGAAUUAUUGGGCGUAAAGAGCACGUAGGCGGCCGUGUAAGUCGGUUGUGAAAGCCUUCCGCUCAACGGGAGAACGGCAUCCGAUACUGCAUGGCUUGAGUGCGGGAGGGGAGAGUGGAACUUCUGGUGGAGCGGUGAAAUGCGUAGAUAUCAGAAGGAACACCGGCGGCGAAGGCGACUCUCUGGCCCGUAACUGACGCUGAGUGUGCGAAAGCUAGGUGAGCAAACGGGAUUAGAUACCCCGGUAGUCCUAGCCGUAAACGAUGGGCACUAAGUAGAGGGGUUUU
rnacentral:rRNA from 1 species